rnacentral:rRNA from 1 species
GACAGAGGUCCAAGCGUUGUUCGGAAUUACUGGGCGUAAAGGGUGCGUAGGCGGUCGGGUAAGUCUGAUGUGAAAUCUCACAGCUUAACUGUGAAACUGCAUUGGAUACUAUCCGGCUUGAGGAAUGGAGGGGAGACUGGAAUACUUGGUGUAGCAGUGAAAUGCGUAGAUAUCAAGUGGAACACCAGUGGCGAAGGCGAGUCUCUGGACAUUUCCUGACGCUGAGGCACGAAAGCCAGGGGAGCAAACGGG